GCCCCAGUAGCUCAGAGGAUUAGAGCACCGGUCUUCGGAACCGGGUGUCGGGGGUUCGAAUCCCUCCUGGGGUACCA
rnacentral:tRNA from 1 species